rnacentral:rRNA from 1 species
CCUACGGUAGGCAGCAGUGAGGAAUAUUGGUCAAUGGGCGCGAGCCUGAACCAGCCAAGUCGCGUGAGGGAAGACGGUCCUAUGGAUUGUAAACCUCUUUUGUCGGGGAGCAAAAGACGCCACGCGUGGCGUUCCGAGAGUACCCGAAGAAAAAGCAUCGGCUAACUCCGUGCCAGCAGCCGCGGUCAUACGGGGGAUGCGAGUGUUAUCCGGAUUUCGUGGGUUUACAGGGUGCGCAGGCGGAAGAUCAAGUCAGCGGGAAAAUUGAGAGGCUCAACCUCUUCGAGCCGUUGAAACUGGUGUUCUUGAGUGAGCGAGAAGUAUGCGGAAUGCGUGGUGUAGCGGUGAAAUGCAUAGAUAUCACGCAGAACUCCGAUUGCGAAGGCAGCAUACCGGCGCUCAACUGACGCUCAUGCACGAAAGUGUGGGUAUCGAACAGGAUUAGAUACCCCGGUAGUC